UAGGGAAUCUUCCACAAUGGACGCAAGUCUGAUGGAGCAACGCCGCGUGAGUGAAGAAGGUUUUCGGUUCGUAAAGCUCUGUUGUUGGUGAAGAAGGAUAGAGGCAGUAACUGGUCUUUAUUUGACGGUAAUCAACCAGAAAGUCACGGCUAACUACGUGCCAGCAGCCGCGGUAAUACGUAGGUGGCAAGCGUUGUCCGGAUUUAUUGGGCGUAAAGCGAGCGCAGGCGGAAUGAUAAGUCUGAUGUGAAAGCCCACGGCUCAACCGUGGAACUGCAUCGGAAACUGUCAUUCUUGAGUGCAGAAGAGGAGAGUGGAAUUCCAUGUGUAGCGGUGGAAUGCGUAGAUAUAUGGAAGAACACCAGUGGCGAAGGCGGCUCUCUGGUCUGCAACUGACGCUGAGGCUCGAAAGCAUGGGUAGCGAACAGG
rnacentral:rRNA from 1 species